GGCUGAGUAGCUCAGUGGAUUGAGAGCCAAGCCUAGAGGUGGGAGGUCCUAGGUUCGAAUCCAGCCUCAGCCA
rfam:Monodelphis domestica cont3.068710, whole genome shotgun sequence.